CCGGGCCGGCGGAGGCGGCGGCAGCAACGGGCGGGGGAGGGGGGGCUGAUCCCGCGUCUCCCCUCAGCAGACAAUACAAGCGCCUCGGAGCGAGUCCCCGAACCUGCCCUAGCCAAAAUGGCGGCCGAGAAAGAGCGGAAGUGACAAGGCCGGCUGUUGCCCUGGGACUGGACAUUCUUCCGAAUCAGUGAUGGACUCUUCUCUUUGGCCUGAAGAAAACAAGUGGGAUCCCUAGCGUUUGAGGCCACUGGGCUGGUGAAGCCCAAGGAUGUGAAAUGAUGUUGCCAGUGGGCCUCCACAAGAUCCUUAAAAACCAGACUGUAGUCCCAAGCCUUUUAGUGCCCCCACAAUUUGCACAGCAUAGGACACAACGUGGGCCUUUGUAAAUUUAGGUCAACCCCAACCAACACAUUGUGUUCUCAACAUUCUUGAAUCCACCUUUUAUAGUUGAGUGCAUAUGAGUGUCUAUCACUGGCUAGACAUACUUAAAAGUAAUAAAUGUCAAUUGUGAAGGAUUAA